GUGAUUAAGUAAGGAAACUAACAUGAUGAUAACUUGAUAAUGACCCCCUUUGCCUAGCAAUCUAUUCAUAAAAUUAAGAGCCUUUAUUAACCUUUGGAAUUUAAACAAUAUAGAAUAAUUGUCUUUUCUGUCAUGUUCUUAACAUACUGUUUAGUCAAUAAAGAUCAAUGAAAACUGAAUGCAUAUUAAUUUACAAAGGCAUUUGCAAUAUAUUUGACUUCUUUUUCUCCUUUCUGUUUUUGUAAACAGGACCUACAUACACCCCAAAGGCUCUUUUCAGAGCCAUUUUACCAAGCAUCUUUGCAUCUUUGUACAUAGUGCCGGUUUUCCUUCAGUAGUGCCAGUUUUCCUGAGAUUUUACCUCGUCCUCCACUGCCUCCAGCAAUUCCUGGUUUUAAGGGUUCCCCAAAUCUUACCCUGGAGGGCCGGAGCACUGCAGAGUUUAGCUCCAACGCUGAUCAAACACACCUGAGCAAGCUAAUCAAGGUCUUCAUGAUCACUAGAAAAUCACAGGUGGGUGGAGUAAUGGAGUAAAGAUGCAACAGAGCAGCUGAUAAGAAAACAUGCUUAAGACCAUCUUAAACGUGCACCAUCAAGAAAGGGAGGGGUACACAAUAAACAUUUUUUUUAAAUAGAUGCACUUUUAAUUUUUAAAGUAUAUAUCGUCGCUGUCCGAUGAAAACCACGCAUGUCCAUUUUGCUGAUUUUUAGAUUUUUCGACAGAUUGAAUGUCCAGGUUCAUUUCCGUAUACAGUAUGCGUCACAUACCUAAAUGGCCAAUGAAAAGUUGUGAAAUCAUGUCAUCUGAUUUUCAAGUAUAUCCAUUUGGUGUCAAAGCUGUCAAUCACGCCGCAUAUCUUCCGCCUGUGAAGCAUCUCGCCGGUCUCGUAAAGUUUCAUCGAAGCUCAGGACUGGAUAUAGCGAAGAAACAUGACAAUGACUUUCCUUCAUCGAGGUAAACGUUUCCCCCGGACGCCAGACGAACAUCUAGGAGUGCCUUAAUUACGGUAGGACUGUGCAAACAAAGUAUCUGUCUAGCAUUGGUGUUGUUAUUUACGCUGGGGACAUCCCACCGCUUUUUGAAGGCGUUUUGUUAAAAUGUUCUGAAAAAUCAAGCGAUGUUUUGUGGUCUAGUGUCACAUAUGUUGCGUUGUAUGCUUAUGGUGUGUUUU